UGGGGAAUCUUGCGCAAUGGGCGAAAGCCUGACGCAGCCAUGCCGCGUGAAUGAUGAAGGUCCUAGGAUUGUAAAAUUCUUUCACCGGGGACGAUAAUGACGGUACCCGGAGAAGAAGCCCCGGCUAACUUCGUGCCAGCAGCCGCGGUAAUACGAAGGGGGCUAGCGUUGCUCGGAAUUACUGGGCGUAAAGGGAGCGUAGGCGGACAUUUAAGUCAGGGGUGAAAUCCCGGGGCUCAACCUCGGAAUCGCCUCUGAUACUGGGUGUCUUGAGUGUGAGGGAGGUAUGUGGAGCACCGAGUGUAGAGGUGGAAUUCGUAGAUAUUCGGAGGAGCACCAGUGGCGAAGACGACAUACUGGCGCAUUACAGGCGCUGAGGCGCGAAAACGUGGGGGGCAAACA
rnacentral:rRNA from 1 species